rnacentral:Y_RNA from 1 species
GGCUGGUCCAAAUGUAGUGAGUUAUCUCAGUUGAUUGCUCACAGUCAGUUAUAGAUUUAACUCCUUGUUCUUUCCCCCUUCUCACUACUGCACUUGACUGGUCUUAA